rnacentral:rRNA from 1 species
GAUGAACGCUGGCGGCGUGCCUAAUACAUGCAAGUCGAGCGAACAGAUGAGGAGCUUGCUCCUCUGACGUUAGCGGCGGACGGGUGAGUAACACGUGGAUAACCUACCUAUAAGACUGGGAUAACUUCGGGAAACCGGAGCUAAUACCGGAUAAUAUAUUGAACCGCAUGGUUCAAUAGUGAAAGACGGUUUUGCUGUCACUUCUAGCUGGAUCCGCGCCGCAUUAGCUAGUUGGUAAGGUAACGGCUUACCAAGGCAACGAUGCGUAGCCGACCUGAGAGGGUGAUCGGCCACACUGGAACUGAGACACGGUCCAGACUCCUACGGGAGGCAGCAGUAGGGAAUCGUCCGCAAUGGGCGAAAGCCUGACGGAGCAACGCCGCGUGAGUGAUGAAGGUCUUCGGAUCGUAAAACUCUGUUAUUAGGGAAGAACAAAUGUGUAAGUAACUAUGCACGUCUUGACGGUACCGAAUCAGAAAGCCACGGCUAACUACGUG